UCACUAAGCUGUAACUGACGCUCAUGCACGAAAGCGUGGGGAUCAAACAGGAUUAGAUACCCUGGUAGUCCACGCUGUAAACGAUGAUCACUCGUUGUUGGCGAUAUACUGUCAGCGACUGAGCGAAAGCAUUAAGUGAUCCACCUGGGGAGUACGGCGGCAACGUUGAAACUCAAAGGAAUUGACGGGGGCCCGCACAAGCGGAGGAGCAUGUGGUUUAAUUCGAUGAUACGCGAGGAACCUUACCUGGGCUUAAAUGUAGGACGACUUCUGCCGAAAGGCGGAUUUCCUUCGGGACGUCUUACAAGGUGCUGCAUGGUUGUCGUCAGCUCGUGCCGUGAGGUGUCGGGUUAAGUCCCAUAACGAGCGCAACCCUUAUCAUUAGUUGCCAUCAGGUAAUGCUGGGAACUCUAAUGAAACUGCCUACGCAAGUAGUGAGGAAGGUGGGGAUGACGUCAAAUCAGCACGGCCCUUAUGUCCAGGGCGACACACGUGCUACAAUGGCCAGUACAGAGGGUUGUUACCAGGCGACUGGAUGCUAAUCUCGAAAGCUGGCCUCAGUUCGGAUCGAAGUCUGCAACUCGACUUCGUGAAGUUGGAUUCGCUAGUAAUCGCGCAUCAGCCAUGGCGCGGUGAAUACGUUCCCGGGCCUUGUACACACCGCCCGUCAAGCCAUGGGAGUUGGGGGUACCUAAAGUCCGUAACCGUAAGGAGCGGCCUAGGGUAAAACCAAUGACUGGGGCUAAGUCGUAACAAGGUAGCCGUA
rnacentral:rRNA from 1 species